AGUAUUAUGGUAAUACACUCGAACUCCACUCAGCGCGGACCUGGCAGGGAGCUACAACGGUAUUACGGGCGUGGUGCUCUUUUCUUCUCCGCCCAGUAGAGCGAUUACGGUGGAAAAAGAACUUCGCAGGAAUAAGGGCGUGUCUGUCAAGGAAUUGUUACGUUGCUGAAAUACAAUCUCUUCGAUGACUUCCUUAUCACAAGAUCGUAUUACUUGGGUUGUUUUUGCAUUUGUAAUAAUCUAUCUACAGGUUGAAAGGGCGCGUCUAACAUGUGUAUGAAAUUGGCGCUGAUGCUCUCCUGCACAGAGGUAUUAUCUGAUCUAGCACCUGCUCUCCGUGUUGAUCUAUGAACUUCGCUGUCUUCUGAAAACGUUACUUAUUGUAACUUGGGUCACAUUUUUCUUUCGAGUGUCGCAAAUUCGUGCUUACCUGGACGUCUCCAAGGAAACUGUAUAACUAGGAUUAGGGAUUAGUCGGUGCCAGCAUUCUGAGUAUUACAGCCUCAGACUUCUCAAAGAAGAAGUAUUAGAGCAGAAUCAAAGACAUAAACGGAAAAUAGCCUAUUGACUGAAACUUGGUAAGUUUGUAAUAGAUUUCACCGAUUCUGGUAUUUCGGGCAAUGCUAUAUCCGGGCAGUGCAAAUGUCUUUUUAAAAUCGAACCAAUAGCAGUGCUCAUUGAUACUUGCCGGAUGUACAACAUAAUUCAUGGUAAUAAAGUCAUUGCCUAGUGACAAGGAAACGGGGAAAUAGCCUGAUUAAAAGCACCUCUCAAAAUUAUUCAAGUCAUUCGUCGAAUCAUCGCAAAUCGGAGCUCAAGGUGUUUUCAAGGUAGAACAAUACUCCUGCCGCCUAUUUGAAGUUUUCCAGAAAACGCGUUAAUCAUUUUCUCCAAAGUUGCCCGAACUGCCAGGUAUUCAAGGAAAGAACUUCAAAGGCUUUGUGAAAGUGUGUUCUUCAACAUCGUCCGAUUUUAAAAAGAGGGGUCCAAUAUUGUUACUGAAGUGCACGUGGAAGGUAUUACGUGGUACGCAGUACAGAAAUAGCUUAGAUCAAAGAGACGUUCGGAUAUUCUCGUCAUCAAGUAUUCUCGAGAAAACCAUAUCAAACUGGAGAGCGGCUAAAUUUAACUCCAUGGUGGGUAAAUGAAAAGAACACUUAGCCCACACCUUACUAUUUGGGCUAGCAGGAAUUUGGCCAGGAUUACUAGAAAGGUAGAUAUAUUGGGAAUUUAAGUUCUGCUGAAGGUGUGCCUCCGGGAGCAGCAGGUAUUUGUCGAUCGUUGGUAUAUCUUAUACUACGCCAGAUGCAAUAGAUUUUGGAGUGGAAAUCGUCUGUUGCGCCUAUUACCCGAGGCAGAAGUCGACACCCCGUUAAAGUCUUCUGAGACAAUACUUCAAGAGUAAUUCAGAAGUUUAUUUCCCAGAAGGAUGGAGAAGUUUGCUAUGCUCGCCUUCUUAUUUGGACUAUAUUUCAAGUGCUUUGGCUUACAGGAUAAACACAGAAACGACGUUAAACAGAGAAGAUGACCUGGCCAAGCAAGUGGGUGUCUCCAGGUUAAAACAGCUUAUCCAUAUUUUAGAGUCUAUAGAAGCAAUGAACGAGUUACAGAACACAGUACGAGUCACGUCGCGUCAAACCAGGACGGACAUAGUGGAGAAGUCGAUAGGAGGAGGUUACAAGCGUGGGUAUGGCGACUCGGCAGUACUUCCGCCAUGGAACGAGUUCUGUAGACUUGUUGGCAUGAGGAACUGCUUUACUUCCAGCCGAAGUUAUCAGUGAUACUUUGCCCGCGGUGUUCACGGAUAAAAAAGAAACUUCCGGACGAACACUGCACAUGUGCUGAAACCGGAUGCUUGCCAACGUGUCCGACAGUAUCAUAUUGUACAACCUCUCUGCUUCUAUAAUAAACAAAUCUAGAAGGAACAAAGCACGGGAUGCCUAAAGAAAAAUGCCUAGCACAAAUUAAUUUAAGAAUUACCGAACAGAAUCAUAAAACUGUGAACGAACAAAUAUCUGACAUCCGACCUGUGUGAUGUGAAAACGUGAUUUUUUUUUUUACUCUGAAAACAGAAUAUUCGUAAAAUAAAGCUUUAAAAUAUUCACAGCUGCUUAAUUAAAAAUAUUCCCGUGAAAUAUGUCAAUAUGAAUUUUGUCAUCGUUAAAUAUAUUUAGUCUGUGUUUCGUAACUGGUAUACAGAACCUUACACUUAAUGUCUUCUACCGAGGAUAAAAAUUAUAAGUUUUGCCAAAAAGUUAUAUUUGUGCUUCUAUGGGUGUGUGAUGUAUUCUGCAUUUAGACCAGGAUAAAAAAAAAACAGUAACAUAUAAACCUACAAAUUGCGAUGCAUUGUCGAUGGUUAUUAUGUUCAGAUACAUGGCCCAAAAAUGAACACUCUUGGAGAAAAAAAAGGUGGUUAGAUUAAAACAUAACUGCGUUAGAAAUUUAAAAAAAACGCCACUGCGAGGUACAUUUCGAGCAAAACUUACAUGAGGUUUGAAACUGGCAUACUUAGAGCGUUGAAGAAUUAGGUAUACUUAUGUGCGAGAUAAGAAGUAAAGUACUGUGUAAUUCUACGCAUAUACACAAAAUAUCCAAAUGUUCUUCGUGUAAAUUAACACACAUGAAAGAAAUAAAAUAUGUCUUAAAUCUGAGGCUUGUAACUUCUGUGUAAAAUGCGUCAGUUCCACUCACUUAUUUAUGGGAUAUAUUGCUGUUUAAUUUCACAGACUGACACAAAUUAAGCCACAUGCUGGUUGACGGUCU